AUUGAACGCUGGCGGCAGGCCUAACACAUGCAAGUCGAGCGGAUGAAGGGAGCUUGCUCCUGGAUUCAGCGGCGGACGGGUGAGUAAUGCCUAGGAAUCUGCCUGGUAGUGGGGGAUAACGUCCGGAAACGGGCGCUAAUACCGCAUACGUCCUGAGGGAGAAAGUGGGGGAUCUUCGGACCUCACGCUAUCAGAUGAGCCUAGGUCGGAUUAGCUAGUUGGUGGGGUAAAGGCCUACCAAGGCGACGAUCCGUAACUGGUCUGAGAGGAUGAUCAGUCACACUGGAACUGAGACACGGUCCAGACUCCUACGGGAGGCAGCAGUGGGGAAUAUUGGACAAUGGGCGAAAGCCUGAUCCAGCCAUGCCGCGUGUGUGAAGAAGGUCUUCGGAUUGUAAAGCACUUUAAGUUGGGAGGAAGGGCAGUAAGUUAAUACCUUGCUGUUUUGACGUUACCACAGAAUAAGCACGAAUC
rnacentral:rRNA from 1 species